rnacentral:tRNA from 1 species
GCGGGAGUGGCGGAAUUAGUAGACGCUCUGGAUUUAGGUUCAAGUAUCUUAGGAUGUUAGAGUUCAAUUCUCUCCUUCCGCACCA